UACGUAGGGGGCAAGCGUUAUCCGGAUUUACUGGGUGUAAAGGGAGCGCAGGUGGCAAGGCAAGCCAGAAGUGAAAACCCGGGGCUUAACCCCGCGGAUUGCUUUUGGAACUGUCUGGCUGGAGUGCAGGAGGGGCAGGCGGAAUUCCUGGUGUAGCGGUGAAAUGCGUAGAUAUCAUGAGGAACACCGGUGGCGAAGGCGGCCUGCUGGACUGUAACUGACACUGAGGCUCGAAAGCGUGGGGAGCAAACAGG
rnacentral:rRNA from 1 species